rnacentral:rRNA from 1 species
GAACGGCGAUCUAGCUUUUUCGGAUCGUAGUGGCGAAAGGGUGAGUAACACGUGGGAUACCUACCCUAGGGUUUGGGAUAACCUGUCGAAAGAUGGGCUAAUACCGGAUACGUUUUCGUACUUUCGAGUACGAAAGGAAAGUUAGGGACUUCUUCGGAAGCCUGACACCCUUGGAUGGGCCCGCGGCCUAUCAGCUAGUUGGUGAGGUAAUGGCUCACCAAGGCUAAGACGGGUAGCUGGUCUGAGAGGAUGGUCAGCCACACUGGAACUGAGACACUGUCCAGACAUCUACGGAUGGCUGCAGUCGAGAAUCUUUCGCAAUGGGGGAAACCCUGACGAAGCGACGCCGCGUGCAGGAUGAAGGUCUUCGGAUCGUAAACUGCUGUCGGCUGGGAAGAAAAGCCUUUUACUAAUAUCAAAAGGUCUUGACGGUACCAGCAAAGGAAGCCACGGCUAACUCUGUGCCAGCAGCCGCGGUAAUACAGAGGUGGCAAGCGUUGUUCGGAUUUAUUGGGCGUAAAGGGUCCGUAGGCGGUUUGAAAAGUCAGAUGUGAAAGCCCACAGCUUAACUGUGGAACUGCAUUUGAAACUUUCAGACUAGAGUGUGGGAGGGGUGAAGGGAAUUCCCGGUGUAAGGGUGAAAUCUGCAGAGAUCGGGAGGAACACCAGUCGCGAAGGCGCUUCACUGGCCCACUACUGA